ensembl:lncRNA
GCACCAGCGCACCCCUGGAGAUCGUGCUGCUGGACAAGGUGUCCACUGGCUUCCCUGGUGUGGUCCAGCUGCUGGAGUGGCUUGAGCUCCCCAACAACAUCGUGAUGGUGCUGGAGCGGCCGGAGCGGUCUCAGGACCUCCUGCAUUUCAUUCGGGCACGGAGGUUCCUGUCUGAAGAGGUGGCACGGCAGCUGUUCCGCCAGGUGCUGGAGGCCGUGCGGCACUGCACCAGCCGAGGGGUCCUGCACCGCGACAUCAAACCAGAGAACAUCCUGGUUGACCUGGCCACUGGCCAGGCAAAAUUGAUCGACUUUGGCUGCGGCACCUACCUGCAAGACACAGCCUACACUCACUUUGCAGGAACACUGUCAUACAGCCCCCCAGAAUGGACCCACUUGGGCUGGUACCAUGGCGAGGCAGCAACGAUCUGGUCCCUGGGCAUCCUGCUGCACCAGAUGGUCUGCGGGCAGCACCCUUUCAGGAGGGGCCGGAAGAUCAGCUGGGACCAUCAGCUCUCGCUGCCACAGCGGCUCUCUCCAGAGUGCCAAGAUCUUAUCAGGUGGUGUUUAUCCAUGCACUUCUUGGACAGACCUUCAUUAGAAGACCUGUUCUAUGAUCCUUGGAUACAGGAUAUUCACCUGCCAUAGAAAAAGGGAGAGAGCCACAUGCACACUUUGCUCCAGGGCCCUGGGAAGGAGAAGGAGUCCUUGGAGAAGCUGUACCAGGUGGGGCUGCUGCUGCUGCUGGAGACAGCGACGACAACAUCAAGGAUGACAACCUCUUCCUCAACCUGGCCACUGGCAGCUGAAGAUGAUGGACUUGUGGCACCGUCUUCAAAGCCAGGCUCCACAGCGAAUUCGCAGAUGAGUCCACAGCCGGGGAAAUGCUCCCAGAUUUGGGCAUUGCUCAGACUGGCUGGGAACAAAAGUUUCUCCCUUUGCUGGGGCAGAUGCAACUUCAGUCGGCUGCCCAGCUGCUUUUUGGCAGGGCUGGGGGCGUGGGCUGGGGUGGAUACAAGAUGGGAGUUGGCUCCUGGCCCUGCCAACAGCCCCCAGCACCCAGCAUGGCCUGGGCUGAGGCUGGGGCUGGGGCUGGGGCAGCCAGCCCGGCACAGAGAAACCCCCAUGGCGGGAGCAGAGGUGGGACUCCAGAACCUGUGCAGGGGCUGCUUUGCUUUGCAGGCAAGGAAGGGCUUGGGCUGCUCCACUGCCCUUGUUUGCUUUGGGAUCACCGUUAUUUUGGGGGGCAGUGCAGGAGGGAAGAGAGAAAGUGUGGCCUUCUCUCCCCCAUGGGUGGGAUUUUCCCUAGCAUGUAGGGGUUGGGCCUUCCUCAGACCUCUGACAGAGAUAAGAGUUUUUUUCUUGUUUCCCCUUGUCUCUAAUCUCUUUUCAACAGUUUGUUGUUUGUUUUUCUAGAGGAAGCGUUCUAUGUAAGGUCCAGUCGGGAUUGGGAAGUGCCUGGGAGCAGCUGCAGCGUGGAUGGGCCGUGCCCUUGGAGAAGGCUGAGGACAUCGUUUGGGACCAGCUUUUCUCCCAGCGGAGGAUGGCGUGAGCCGGGCUCUGCGGGUGCUGAGGCUGCUCUGGGCUCUGCCAGGGCUCUGCUGGGCUCUGCCCCGGGCACAGCUGGGCUGGCUCUGCCCUCACAUUGCUCUGACAGCUUUGCAUCAGACGAGCCCGUUGGAGCACAGUGCCUGAGCUUUCUGCUUUGGCAGAAGUGCCAUGAGUGGGCCAAAGCUGGCAAGUGAGCCGUGUUCCUGAGGCAGUGCAGUCUGGAGCUGAUGGAUGGAGAAUUGCCCUUCCCACUUCCAAAGCAGAGCAAAAAAGCCAGGUCCUGGCCCUCUUCCAGCCAAAAGGGAAAGGGCCCCACCAAGCCUUGUUACCCACAGACAACAUGGUAAAGCUGAACACUAAAGGACCUUGGGGGCAUUAUUCUGGAAUUAAAAAGUUGCCAGCUCCAUGGACAACAGAAUUAUUGUUCCUAACCUGAAUGACAUUGAGCAAAAAGAAUGAAGAACGGUGUCACUAAAGUACUACUGACGUUUGCCAAAAACACCUCCAGAGUUUCACCAAGGGAUCAGUCAUCAAAAUGUUUUGAAAAUUUAAAGACCAAGGUAGCCAAAGCACACAGUGUCACUAAUUGCUGGGUAUGUUCUCAGCUGAAGUUGGGAGGAAUGGGGUUCCCUUGGAGGGCCCACCCUGUGGGGUGGCCAGAACUCUGUCAAUGGGCUCUGCCUCGUAACGGAGUCAAUGAAGGGACAGUUAGAGAAACCUGUGCUGUGGGACACGGGAAUACAACGAUCAUUGUGACAGGAUUCACUCAGAUUUCCGCUCAGGAGAAACCAAACCCUGUUACAGUUAUAGAGGCUACAGUGUCAGAAGAUUUCUGUGCUUUACCAUCACUCCCAAUGUCAGUAGAACUUGGGGUGCUGCAGCUGGUCAGUGUCAGUGUCACACCGCUCCCAGCUGCAGGGCCCCCAUUUAGGGUCCUUCAGCAACGACCACACGGAAGACUUAGGGCCCAGAGAACAUUUUCCACCCAAAGAGUGCCUUGGGUUUCCGAAAGCAAAGGAUUCUGGUUCACCCUGUGCCCCAUGUGCGCUGCCCCGUCCCGUGGAGUUGACAUGAAUGAGCUGAAUGGAUUAUUAGAAGAGGUAGUAAAUGAUACUGUUGAAAUGCCCAUUAGCACAUCCUAUGAGCUCCAACAAACACAAAUGGGGACUCCAGAGAACCGCAUGGCCUUGGAUUAUCUGCUUGCUGGCCAAGGAGGAACCUGGGCUAUCAGGGGACGGGGAUGUUGCACUGCUAGCAGUGAUGGGUUUGAAGGCCAACAGUCAGGAAUCACCUUGACAGAAAGAGCAGUAGAAGAGUGGCAGAAGAAAAUUCUUCUUGGUGGGAUUGGCUUCGUGGCUGCCAAAUUAGAGGCUGCUGUGAAAUGCAUUGGUGGCAGGGCCUGUCAUCAUUGCAGUGUGUGCACUUGGUGAGUUGCUGUGACACUUUGUGCUGGGAAGUGGAGUAUUGAGACCUUUCUUAAAAGAGACAGUCUCAAGAAAAGAGAGGCAUUUGAUAAAUAACAGAGAAUAGCAACUAUUUAGGCAUGUUUUAAAAGGAACGUGAAUAGCUCUGAGUAAUGAAGUUAAACUGCACUUAAUUGUAGAACAAGAGGAGAUGCCUUUAUGCCUAAUACCUAAAUCUAAGCUGUGUUACUGAAAGAAUUGUUACAAAGGUUGUAGUUGAUUGUAGGUCUCAGGACCGAUCAAAGUACCAAGGCCUGAACAGGUUGUGAUCAGGGCCUGAACAGGCCCUGAGGCAAAGCUCACCUCUAGAUGAACCUUCCAAGCAAAUGUUGUAUUUGUAUCCACUCAUUAAGGAAGCAUGAUUAACAACAGGAUCAAUGCAUGUGUUCCUUGAUAAAACACGGAUUUAUCUUUCUGUAUUUAGAAACAGACAAGGCCCCAUCUGGCCUUGUUUGGGGGUGAAGGAUCAAAGUCAACUCCCUUGGUUCCUCCUUCAGCCCUGGCCAGGCUUUGGGAGAAAGCAGUCAGGAGAAUGAAAGCAGAUGUUCUCGCAGUGGCAGUGAUGCCAGCUUGUUUGUUUAACAGUGUAAAAGCUGGGUCCUCUCACAGCUUUGGGGUUGGAGCCUCAUUGCUUGCAGAGGUGGAGGCACCUGCAGGAAUUCCCAGUGUCUGGGAGUGGCUCUCCAGUCCUUGGCUUCCCCCAGCUGAUGUGUGGCUGUGGAUGAUGGUAAAGCCUGAGGCUAACUGGUGAUGGAUCUUUCCUUAAUCACUCCAGGCAAUCUCUGGUAGCAAUGACUGGAUGCAUUGCUGAGCUUCUUUUGUAAUGCUUUGCUAAUGAUGAUGUGCUUUGCUGAGCUUAUCCUUUUGUAAUUCUUUGCAGCUGUGCAUGAUAUAAAUGACACAAUUCCUUC